AGGGAGAGGGAUUAUAUAUUUUCACAAUAUUUAAUACACUUAUCCAUAGUUAUCCACAUUCCUAUUUUAUGGCUAUAACAUGAUGCAUAUGCAAUUCAUAAUCAUCAAGGGCACAAGAGAAAAAAGGAAAUGGAUUGAAGGGUAUAUUUAUAAAUACAAAACUAUAUAUGGACUAUAAAUAACCUUCAACCCUUUCCCUCUACUCAUCACUUCCUACUCUACUUUCCUUCACAAGUCCAUAUAUACUAAUAUAUAUUAGGUGUUGUUGUGUGUUACUAAUUGCAAUAAUGGGUAAAGAGAAGGCUCAGGUGAAUAUUGUGGUGGUUGGUCAUGUGGAUUCUGAUGAGAAGCCAACCAGCAACGAGGAAACCAACAAGGUUGUUGUUGUUGUUGAGAACAAAACUGAUGAGAUGAAUAUGAUAUGAGGAACCAGAAAAAUUAAUAAUAAUUAAUGUUUUGUAAAAAUAAUCUGGUACCACCAGUCUACUUAAUGUUAUGUUAUGUUAAUUUAUAU